rnacentral:rRNA from 1 species
AUUGAACGCUGGCGGCAGGCCUAACACAUGCAAGUCGAGCGGAUGAAGGGAGCUUGCUCCUGGAUUCAGCGGCGGACGGGUGAGUAAUGCCUAGGAAUCUGCCUGGGAGUGGGGGAUAACGUCCGGAAACGGGCGCUAAUACCGAAUACGUCCUGAGGGAGAAAGUGGGGGAUCUUCGGACCUCACGCUAUCAGAUGAGCCUAGGUCGGAUUAGCUAGUUGGUGGGGUAAAGGCCUACCAAGGCGACGAUCCGUAACUGGUCUGAGAGGAUGAUCAGUCACACUGGAACUGAGACACGGUCCAGACUCCUACGGGAGGCAGCAGUGGGGAAUAUUGGACAAUGGGCGAAAGCCUAAUCCAGCCAUGCCGCGUGUGUGAAGAAGGUCUUCGGAUUGUAAAGCACUUUAAGUUGGGAAGAAGGGCAGUAAGUUAAUACCUUGCUGUUUUGACGUUACCAACAGAAUAAGCACCGGCUAACUUCGUG